rnacentral:misc_RNA from 1 species
UCCCCGUUAUCCUGGAUGCGUCCUGUGCAUGUCAAACCCAGGUAAGGUUCUUCGCGUUGCAUCGAAUUAAUCCACAUGCUCCGCCGCUUGUGCGGGCCCCCGUCAAUUCCUUUGAGUUUUAGCCUUGCGGCCGUACUCCCCAGGCGGGGCGCUUAAUGCGUUAGCUACGGCACGGAGAACGUGAAUGUCCCCCACACCUAGCGCCCAACGUUUACAGCGUGGACUAC